CUGAUUCUAAAUUAACUUCCACUUGGCUGAGAGUUUUUCUGCUCAUCCGUACUGGGAAAUUAAAACCACAGACUAAUGAAGACAUUCAUACACUAAUCUUUUGUACUUUAGUUUAUCCUAUUCAGUCUCCCAGAAGCAAUCACAGUGUCCUGGAAAUUCUGCCGAACACAAAUAGACAGUUUGCAGAGCUUCAGCUCUCAGAGCCCAGAAAUGCAGGAGAAAAGUACAACAUUGCGCAGAACCUCAUCACUGGAAUGCAAUAUAUAGAAGUACUGCCACGAAUAAGAACUGAGCAUUUUCAGUAAAAGAUUUACAUGCUUUCUGAACUUUGUACUUCUUACAUUUGCACAAUCUGUGUUAUAAACAGUCUGUCUGUGCAAUGCUAAAAAGCUCAUUUUAAGAGCACAGUAUUGAACCACUAACCAAGGCAAACGCAUACAUUCUGGGAUACCGUGAGAUUACAGAAUCAGUAGGAGGGAAUUCUGGCACAGCAUUAUAGUUUUGUGAGAACAGGAAGCACAGCAUCGCACAACUUGUAAGAGAACAUACCAUCAAGCCUAUCACACCACAGUAGAAGAUAUAAACAAAGCCACUUCUGUGAAAAACAAUAUAGAAGAAAUAAAUGACUGCAUCCUGGCUCCCAGGUCUGGAGUAGAGAUUUCCAUGCAUAUAAGGAGGAGCAUACAGAACACUGUGCUGGGAGCCAGAGAAUGAAUUUCUCUGUUUCUCCAUAUUGACACCUUUCCACAAAUCAGAGGAUUGGAUUUUUUUCUGUGGUAUACAACAACUCCAAAUGCUUAUUUUUAACCUACAGCAUUUUUUUUUUCCUUAAAGAAUCACCACCAGAAAGCACAAAUGAUGGGGCUAUACAAUGUGCUGUUUUCACUGUCUACUUAGAUAGAUUUUAUUGAUAGAAUACAGCUAAAUCUGUGUUUCUGAUUGUUAUACUCCACAGAAGCUUCCUUUGUUGUUACUGCAAGCUUCACUUCAGAAACCCUCAAAGACCUGAGCCAUUGUAUGAAAGGUUCUUAUGUAUGAAUAGUCCCUGCACCAGAGGAGAUAGUGAAAAAUGUUCUGAUUCAUAUGCGUAAAAACGCUUCUUCAGGACUAUGCAGUUACAGUGUGGAGGUGAACUUUGCAUACCUCUUCUCCCUGCUGAAGCAAAGAGAAUUUAGAUUACCACAAAAUAGAGGCAGAAAACUAUGCUCAAGUGCAGCUGUUAGAUCUGAGCAGAUAAUGGCAGCAAGUAAACAGCACCUGAACAGCAAGUAAACAGAAUCUGAGCUCAGAGCUCCUUGCUGUGCUCAAAAGAAGAGAAUGUAAGACACCCAUCUCCAGUUCUCUUUCUGUUCUUCAGUGUAAAGGGUGCUUUGAUUCUUCUACGUUAUCUUUAGUUAUCUUAGUUAUCCUUAACUAUCGUUCACAUGGUUUCUGGUUUUCCCACUGCAGACCCUGGAAAUCAUUCACCUACACAUAAUAUUUUUCUUCUUUCUCACUUCUUAUACCUACCAAUGUCUGUGCAGAUGUUGUGCUCUUUCCACUUUUACUUAUUUCCCCUCUAGUACCCUAAUUUUUUGUUUAUUAUACUCUCUCCCCUUAAAUUCCGUUCAUCUCCCCAUUUACAAAUCCUUCUGUACAUUCAGUCAUUCAGUUUAACAAAAUUCUUACAGAUCAUCUUAGCUACCUUCACAGUAGUACUCUGUGCACCUUACAGCACUCUGGGCAGACCACUUGAUUGCCAGAAGAUAGUCACACAGCAGAGGAGAUGGGUUGGCUGCUAUUCCUUAGUGCAAUGUCAGGUCUCUCAGAUAUGAACUAUGAAGCAGCCUUUGUACUCUUCCGCCACAGCCCAGACACUGCAGGCCAGACCCUUGGUAUAAGUGGCAGUGCUGGACUAAGAAACUCACAAAGUUUGCAGGAAAAAGAAUGAUCUGCCUAGAAACUGGGACAGUGGUAUAGAUAUAGUUUGUUUACUUUAGAGAUGGAAUGAAGAAAUACUUUAAAAAAAAAAAAAAGAGUUUAAUGAUAACACUUCUGCAGCAAACAGCUAUGAGCGUAACAGCUAGACAAGCAGGUAGCCAAAGGGACGCCCAGUUACUGGUCAGCAAUUAGACAAGUUCUGAGGAUUGUAAGUGCAGGGCACAGGGUCAGAUCUUCAGGUUCUCCACAGAUUUUCUCAGGAAGGAGCUGUAAGCUUCCAGCCUUCCAGCUGGAGGACUCCUGACUGACAGGUUAGUCUUGCAGGCACUUGUGAGCCUGAUGUUCAUCCUGUUCCAUUUUCCAAGGCCAAAAGGACUAUGUCCGGAUGGCCAAGCUGGGGCAAGCAGUACUUCAUGCAUGACUGUGGGUAUGUAGCUCUUGGGCCACACUGACUCGGCACACGGCCUGAUCCCAUGAGCACACACAGGGGAACACUUAAGUGUGACAAAGAGCAGCACUUUCUUUCCACAGAUAGAAAGAGGCAAGAAAGGCAGCACACUGAGGUGGAGGUGGAGACCCACAGGCCUGGAGUGCUGGGAAGCCUGCAGCAGGGUCAGUGUGCAGAAUGAGAGGUGAACCUGGCUGGUGAGCCUGGCCCAGUUAUUUCAGACAUGGGCUCUGAGAGAGCAGGACUUGGGAGAGCUUCUCUUUAAAACAUCUGCAACCAGGGCACCUGUCUGUAUGUUUCCUCACCAUAUUCACAUACCUGACCCCAUAUUUGGGCUAACCCUUCCUCCGUGCUGCUCAAAUGUGUUUCUGCAAAGGGUAAGAGUGAAAUUGCUUGCUAUCUUCAUGACAGCAAGGCACUGAUUUUGUCAAUGAAUGCAAAAAGGAGGCCAACAGCACAAUGUGCCCCCCAAAGGAUUUUCUGUAAGAGGAGCUUAUCACACUUAGGUGAAUUCUGCUAUUAAUCUGUGCUAAUCCUAAUGGGUUCAGAGUAGAGUUUUACUGAGACCAACACAAGACUUACGAAUUUAUCUGUGCUAAUACAUUGAGGUGAUUUAAUUCCUGUGUCCUUGUGUUGCUUUUUUCAUCUGUACAAUGAAAAUAUAUCUGUCCUUCAUAACAUAGCUGUGGAUCAGUGCUCUUGGACUGUUUACAAAAUCUCUCCUCUGUCUGCUCUUUGCCUGUUCUGUCAUCAGCACAGAAUUUCAGAGCCAUGAAGUAUCCUUACAGAUUGCACUCUGCUCACAGAAAUAAGCCAUGGGUCCAGGGCAAAAGUGAAGAUCACAGCCUUUGAAGAUGUUAUAACACAACAAAUGUUCUCUAGCUGCUCAGACUCGGUCAACUGUUUCUCUUGACCUCUGCUCGGAGCAGCAUUGGCUGAGCCCCAUCAAGGUCCCCUCUGUUAUCUCCUCAGUAUUUUCAGAGCAGCUCCACAGCAUUUAAUAAAGACAGGCAAUUAAUCCUGACUGAAAAUAAAAGGCAUCAAUCCUUCUUGCCUUGACAUAAAAAGCAGUGGAUGGAGUGGUGACAGACCCUCUGUAGUUCAGUCCUAUCCCCUAUGUAGGGGACAACUAAAAGACUAAAAGUAAGGCUUUGUAGUAAGCAGUAUUGUGGUAAACACAUUUUUAAAUAUAUAUCAUGACCCUACUUUUCAAAUAGUAUUUGCAGAAGAAUCACAGAAAAGCAAGACUGAAAGAGACAUCCAGCUGUGGGUGAUAGUAGGAUCACUCACCUUUCAGAUCACCUUUGGCCACUCUCGGUCGCUGUCAGUGACGCUUCCCAUGCUAGAGGAGAAAGCUGAGAAAGGUGCAAUACAGUAUAAAAGGUACCCUAGAAAGAUAUAUCUUAGUAAUCUUAACUGGAUGAUGUCGUAACUAGCUCCCUGAACUGUAAAAGGGAAGUAAGAGGUUUGGUAAUCAUCAUUUUUAUGUGCCUUCUAAUGGGAGCCAAUUCCAGCAAUGAAUCAUCCCCUAACAUUUUGUUAGAGCACAGGUCAGCAGUACAGACCUGCUGAAUCAUAUAGGAGUGCUAGCACCAGACUCAGAGAAGCACAGAUGACCAGGGCCAGACUGCAGAAACUUUCUGAGAGAAAGGAGAAGUAGUUUAAUAAUGGACAAACUGAGGGGGUGGGGGGGGAGGUAAGAAAAAGAAAACAAACUUAGCAUGCUCUUGUUUGAAUACCAACCAAAAGUUGUUAAAAUUAUGCUUUAAUUACACAUUAUGAGAUAUCCCUUGGCUCAUUUCUGCAAGAUUAUCUUUGAGUAUGGUAAAGGGAAAUUUUAAGAGCAUAUUAUUUGUGUUUCUUAAAAUACUUGUACAUCAGAAUCAUACAGCAUAUAAAAUGCUGCUAAUUCGUUGCAUAAUUUAGCUCCUCAGUGGGACUUAGUUGCUUGGGCAAUUAUAUUUUGUGGAAUGGUAACAGCCAGUUCAGUGAAUCCUGAUGAAUAAUAUUCCAUCUUCAUAUUCAGAAUUCAGCCUUCUCUAGGAGUUUUCUGAACUUUUUAUACUUUCUGAGUACAAAAAAAAUCACAUAUCGUUCAGAAAGAGCUAAAAAAAAUCUGAUUUAUAAGUUUUUAUGAACUUCUGGUCUAAAUCUGAGCACCUGCUCACUUCCCUCUUCCUUGCAGUCAGAUGAGCACAAGACCACAGUGUGCACCCAACCCUGGGAGCACUGCUCUCCCCACCUAGGGCUGGGUUCUUGGUUUGAGUUGAGAUCCCUGAGAACCCAGUGUCUCUCAUUUCUAAACUAUUCUUGUAGGCAGUUUUCGGUAAUUUAGCCCAGCAUGAGUAUUGAAAGAUGAAGAAGAGGCUGAAGAGCAACUUCAAGAGGAUGCAGAGUAAAUCCAGCAAUGUGUGCAUGCAGUUCCUAUCUAAGCAAGUGCCAAUCUCUCUGAUUCAGUGUGCUCUUUGACUAAAUGUGAAUAUAUAUGCAGGCCAACCAAUUUUCAAGAAUGCCAUGACAGCAAUAUCAACAUUUCUCUACCUAUUUUUCAGAGGUUUUUCUAACAUCUUUGUACUGAAAUACAGGUUCUUUCCUCACUCUGUACAGACUUGUAAAAAUACGGUUACUUCCUGUUAAAUGAUGUGUAUAAAUACACUGUGAGAAUCAAAUGAUAACCAUUUUGCUCAGAUCUAAAAUGUUUUCUGUCAAGCCCUUGUUCCACUGCAUUUUCAGUGCUUUCCAACAAAGCAGCCGUGCAAUAUACAGUAUAUUAUUUUACUGUCUGGAUUUUUUAACCACUGUAUCCUGAAAGAAAUAAAAAAAUGAAGAAAACAUUCAUGGUCUCCAAGGCUGACAGACAGAAAGCUCAAAAGCUCAUCGAGGAAAACACAGGAGACCUAGGAGGGAAGAUGCAGAUGUGUAACCUUAUAUCAGAAGAACACCGUGACAGAAGCUGGUCACAUUUAGAGCAGCAGUUUGAUUCCACAAAAAUGCCAUGGCCCUCUAGUGCUGGCUACUGUGCUUUUACUUCUUGUAUUCACCCAUGGACAUGGACAGACACCAGCAAAGCUGCUCCAGAGGUUUAAACAACAAGGACUGUGUUUAUUACCAUCACUUUGCCAAUGUCAGUAAUGUCACAAAGCCAAAGAAUAUGGCCCUGAUUCACAAAAACAAGUAUAUUUUUUUUUGUUGAUAUGUCCCAGAAAGUCAAUGACGAGUUCAUACGGGAAGUCCUCUGAUAGCCGGUGGGGAACAACUGAGGUCUGAACACCUACUAGCACACAAACAAAGGAGCAGUAAAGAACUAACUUUGGCUUCAGGGAAAGCAAUAGCACAAUAGUCAGCUUAUAUUUGUACUAAUACAUAUGAGCAAAUAUACAUGUAUAUAUGUAAAUAUAUGCAAGCUCUAGCCUCCUUAUUUUUUUCAAAAGAAUAAAUUUGCUGGCAGAGCAUGUUCACAGGCAUUUAUUCAAAGAAUAGGAUGAAAAAAAAAAGGAGCCUCAUUUCUGGCAAAUGAUAAAUAAAUAUAUUUGAUUAAUGCAUA